AGCUAUGAUCCGGCUAGCGNACUANGNUNAAAGUAUACANUAUAGAAUAUAAAGAUANACAUCCUAGGAGUUGGGAGCUAUUGNUAGACGUNCAGNUGCAGGCGNCCGCGAUAGAGAUCAACCUUCGANGUUUGGCUAGAGGCCUCCCAUGAGUCAUNGGGUAUCGGGGUCUUCGGGCCCACAUCGGAGAGGGAGCNUGAGAAACGGCUGCCCAUCCAAGUAGUGCAGCNGGCGCGCAAAUUACNUAUCCNNNCACGGGGAGGUAUGACAAUAAAUAUCAAUAGGGGGUUGUUUCGGAUAUAUCCAUGAGUAUGAGUUCAAACAAAAUAUCUUAACGACGAACAAACGGAGGGCAAGUCUCAUGCCAGCAGCCGCGGUAAUUCCAGCUCCAAUAGCGUAUAUUAAAGUUCAUGCAGUCAAAAAGAUCGAAGCAGAAUUUCGCGACCAAUAAAUCCGUCGAGCCUCGGUAAGUACCGGCACCGUUUGUUUCUCCCUUCAAAAGAACCACGAUGUCAUUUAUCUGGUGUGAGGGGGAAUCAGGACCGUUACUUUGAAAAAAUUAGACCAAUAAAGCAGGCUCACGCUUGAAUACAUUAGCAUGGAAUAAUGAAAUAGGACGUUUGAUUAUAGGAGCUUGGUUUAUAGGAUCGACGUACACCUUAAUAGGGAUAGUUGGGGGCAUUAGUAUUCAAUUUCAGAGGAGAAAUUCCAAGAUUUAUAUAAGACUAAAUCCUGCGAAAGCAUUUACCAAGGAUCCUUCCUGAGUCAAGAACGGGUAAUAGGGGAUCGAAGACGAUCAGAGGACGUCGUAGUCUUAACCCUAACUCCCUCUCCGGAGGGGUCGGAUGAUCUCCUUCUUCCGUCUUCACCAUCUGCGGCCUGGGAAACCAAAGUAAAGGGUUC
rnacentral:rRNA from 1 species